UGGGUUGUGGCUCAGUGGUAGAGUGCUUGCCUAGCAUGUGUGAGGCACUGGGUUUGAUUCUCAGCACCACAU
rnacentral:tRNA from 1 species